rnacentral:rRNA from 1 species
UUAAGCGACUAAGCGUACACGGUGGAUGCCCUGGCAGUCAGAGGCGAUGAAGGACGUGCUAAUCUGCGAUAAGCGUCGGUAAGGUGAUAUGAACCGUUAUAACCGGCGAUUUCCGAAUGGGGAAACCCAGUGUGUUUCGACACACUAUCAUUAACUGAAUCCAUAGGUUAAUGAGGCGAACCGGGGGAACUGAAACAUCUAAGUACCCCGAGGAAAAGAAAUCAACCGAGAUUCCCCCAGUAGCGGCGAGCGAACGGGGAGCAGCCCAGAGCCUGAAUCAGUGUGUGUGUUAGUGGAAGCGUCUGGAAAGGCGCGCGAUACAGGGUGACAGCCCCGUACACAAAAAUGCACAUGCUGUGAGCUCGAUGAGUAGGGCGGGACACGUGGUAUCCUGUCUGAAUAUGGGGGGACCAUCCUCCAAGGCUAAAUACUCCUGACUGACCGAUAGUGAACCAGUACCGUGAGGGAAAGGCGAAAAGAACCCCGGCGAGGGGAGUGAAAAAGAACCUGAAACCGUGUACGUACAAGCAGUGGGAGCACGCUUAGGCGUGUGACUGCGUACCUUUUGUAUAAUGGGUCAGCGACUUAUAUUCUGUAGCAAGGUUAACCGAAUAGGGGAGCCGAAGGGAAACCGAGUCUUAACUGGGCGUUAAGUUGCAGGGUAUAGACCCGAAACCCGGUGAUCUAGCCAUGGGCAGGUUGAAGGUUGGGUAACACUAACUGGAGGACCGAACCGACUAAUGUUGAAAAAUUAGCGGAUGACUUGUGGCUGGGGGUGAAAGGCCAAUCAAACCGGGAGAUAGCUGGUUCUCCCCGAAAGCUAUUUAGGUAGCGCCUCGUGAAUUCAUCUCCGGGGGUAGAGCACUGUUUCGGCAAGGGGGUCAUCCCGACUUACCAACCCGAUGCAAACUGCGAAUACCGGAGAAUGUUAUCACGGGAGACACACGGCGGGUGCUAACGUCCGUCGUGAAGAGGGAAACAACCCAGACCGCCAGCUAAGGUCCCAAAGUCAUGGUUAAGUGGGAAACGAUGUGGGAAGGCCCAGACAGCCAGGAUGUUGGCUUAGAAGCAGCCAUCAUUUAAAGAAAGCGUAAUAGCUCACUGGUCGAGUCGGCCUGCGCGGAAGAUGUAACGGGGCUAAACCAUGCACCGAAGCUGCGGCAGCGACACUAUGUGUUGUUGGGUAGGGGAGCGUUCUGUAAGCCUGUGAAGGUGUACUGUGAGGUAUGCUGGAGGUAUCAGAAGUGCGAAUGCUGACAUAAGUAACGAUAAAGCGGGUGAAAAGCCCGCUCGCCGGAAGACCAAGGGUUCCUGUCCAACGUUAAUCGGGGCAGGGUGAGUCGACCCCUAAGGCGAGGCCGAAAGGCGUAGUCGAUGGGAAACAGGUUAAUAUUCCUGUACUUGGUGUUACUGCGAAGGGGGGACGGAGAAGGCUAUGUUGGCCGGGCGACGGUUGUCCCGGUUUAAGCGUGUAGGCUGGUUUUCCAGGCAAAUCCGGAAAAUCAAGGCUGAGGCGUGAUGACGAGGCACUACGGUGCUGAAGCAACAAAUGCCCUGCUUCCAGGAAAAGCCUCUAAGCAUCAGGUAACAUCAAAUCGUACCCCAAACCGACACAGGUGGUCAGGUAGAGAAUACCAAGGCGCUUGAGAGAACUCGGGUGAAGGAACUAGGCAAAAUGGUGCCGUAACUUCGGGAGAAGGCACGCUGAUAUGUAGGUGAAGUCCCUCGCGGAUGGAGCUGAAAUCAGUCGAAGAUACCAGCUGGCUGCAACUGUUUAUUAAAAACACAGCACUGUGCAAACACGAAAGUGGACGUAUACGGUGUGACGCCUGCCCGGUGCCGGAAGGUUAAUUGAUGGGGUUAGCCGCAAGGCGAAGCUCUUGAUCGAAGCCCCGGUAAACGGCGGCCGUAACUAUAACGGUCCUAAGGUAGCGAAAUUCCUUGUCGGGUAAGUUCCGACCUGCACGAAUGGCGUAAUGAUGGCCAGGCUGUCUCCACCCGAGACUCAGUGAAAUUGAACUCGCUGUGAAGAUGCAGUGUACCCGCGGCAAGACGGAAAGACCCCGUGAACCUUUACUAUAGCUUGACACUGAACAUUGAGCCUUGAUGUGUAGGAUAGGUGGGAGGCUUUGAAGUGUGGACGCCAGUCUGCAUGGAGCCGACCUUGAAAUACCACCCUUUAAUGUUUGAUGUUCUAACGUUGACCCGUAAUCCGGGUUGCGGACAGUGUCUGGUGGGUAGUUUGACUGGGGCGGUCUCCUCCUAAAGAGUAACGGAGGAGCACGAAGGUUGGCUAAUCCUGGUCGGACAUCAGGAGGUUAGUGCAAUGGCAUAAGCCAGCUUGACUGCGAGCGUGACGGCGCGAGCAGGUGCGAAAGCAGGUCAUAGUGAUCCGGUGGUUCUGAAUGGAAGGGCCAUCGCUCAACGGAUAAAAGGUACUCCGGGGAUAACAGGCUGAUACCGCCCAAGAGUUCAUAUCGACGGCGGUGUUUGGCACCUCGAUGUCGGCUCAUCACAUCCUGGGGCUGAAGUAGAUCCCAAGGGUAUGGCUGUUCGCCAUUUAAAGUGGUACGCGAGCUGGGUUUAGAACGUCGUGAGACAGUUCGGUCCCUAUCUGCCGUGGGCGCUGGAGAACUGAGGGGGGCUGCUCCUAGUACGAGAGGACCGGAGUGGACGCAUCACUGGUGUUCGGGUUGUCAUGCCAAUGGCACUGCCCGGUAGCUAAAUACGGAAGAGAUAAGUGCUGAAAGCAUCUAAGCACGAAACUUGCCCCGAGAUGAGUUCUCCCUGACCCUUUAAGGGUCCUGAAGGAACGUUGAAGACGACGACGUUGAUAGGCCGGGUGUGUAAGCGCAGCGAUGCGUUGAGCUAACCGGUACUAAUGAACCGUGAGGCUUAACCUU